rnacentral:lncRNA from 1 species
UCUCUUUUUCUUAUUGCCCCUACUAUCUGUCAUGUUCAGUGGUCUUACACGUAAAAUGUUUACCUCCCUUUUCCUUAUCCUUCAAUCUAAUCAAAUUAUGAAGUUCUUCAUAAUUUCCCUUCUGAACCAAUAAAAUAAGACUUCCAGUUUGUCACCGUAUAGCCACUCAUUUUCUUCCAAAGUGCUUCCCAUAUUCAUCUUUGGUGUCAUCUUUAUAAAUCCUCAUGUUAAUUUCCCCAAUUAAAAUUCAUUAAUAGGUCCCCUUCAUCUUCAAGAUGUCGUGAAUACUUCAUCGGAAACUUCUGCUUGCCACUUCCGUGCCAUCUUUCCAAAUUAUUCCCCAAUUCCCACCUACUUCAUCUUGUUCGGAGAAGUUAUCUCUUAUUUUUUCUUGCAUGUUCAACUCCAAUACUAUACCCAUAUUUAUCCAUCAUUCAAAAUGACUUACUGAGAAUUUAUUAAGUUUCAGGCAUUGAAUUAAAGAUAAUCAGUAAGGAAAAUCAAUAUAGACAUAGAUAUUUUCUUCCUUGAGUUUAUAGUUUAGUUAAUUAUCAAGACAAACAGGUUCUUAGUGAGUAGGAACUACACAGUGGAAGAACCACUUUCCUUCAAUGCAGAUUAAGGGGGAGAAAUGGAAAAUUCCAGGAGUAAGUUAAGUCUGGGCUACAAACUAAAGGAGUCAUAGGAGUUAGCGAAGGAGUUGGGAAAUCAGCACCUCAGGCAUCAGGGACAAUGCCUACAACGUUCUGGAGGGUUUUAAUAUUUCAGAGAACUUUGCCUGUAUGCAGAAAUGAAGUCCCUCUAGAAAACUUCUAAGCAUUCUCCUCUUCUGUGACCAGUGAGAUUCCCAAACAGCCCUUAUUUCUCUCCAUUAUGAAAAAGGAUGACUAUAUAGAGUAAUUGCUUUCUUCCUCACUAGACCUAAAGCUCCUUAGGACAGGUCUUUUGCAAACAUUUAGUAUACACGAGAGAGAGAGAGAGAGAGAGAGAGACAUUCAUUUUAAAAGACAUUGAAAUAUCAGCAAUGGUGUAUGACGACGACACUUUGCGUGUAAAGUUGAUGUUGAAUAAAAAUAAAAUUAUAGUCUUAGAUUUUGUGUGUAUGCCCCUGUGUGCAGGUGAAAUGAAUCUGUUAGAGGGACUGAGGUCAGCAACAAAGAACAAACUUCUUAUAGGAAAAUAUGGGGAUGCAUGAGAGAAUUUUUUGUUUAAAAUAUAAAUACCCAUUAUCUAAGGAAUCCUAAACUGGCAAAAAGCUAGAAAAUGCCCAGCAAAAUUCCAGGCACUUUGGAAGGGUAGGAAGAGACAAAUUAAAAAAAAAAAAAAAAAAAAGAAACAUAAAACUUUGCUCAUCCAGUCUACCUGGGGUGCUUACUGUUUACAUUUGGAGAUAAAAUAUCCCCCAAAUGAACUCAGAGUGGCUACCAGCAAAGUAUCAGACACCUGCCAGAGCAAAUGACCAGAAAAUGACAAGUCACAGAUAUUGUCCCAGUCAUUAACGAGUAGGUAUUGAAUAUACUUUGUGAUCACUUAGAGCUGUCACAGAAAUGAACGCUGGGCCUCAAGAAAUCUGAAGAGGCCCAAGGAAAAAAUAACAGAGUAGGAGAAACGAAACUUGAGGAGCAGAAAAAGACUAGUUUGGCAAAUGUGGAUCUAUUUUGCAGACAAAAUUAAAUCUUUGACAAUGUGAUAUUUGAAAGCUAUUCAACACUUAUCUUCCCUUUAGUGUUUAUAGUGCUUGCACAUUUAUGAUUAAAUUUCUUCACUGUUCAUCCAUGCAUUACUUUGAUGUUUUAUUCUGAACAUUCUGUACACAUAUAUCUGUACAUUCAUAAAUGGGCU